CUGCGAGGCGCAACCGUGCAACGCGCGCAGGGCAUCGCGCUGAUAGCGGGGGACGAAAAAGGGCGGAGAAGGGAUAAAAGAGAGACAUUUAUUGGCUUUUGUUGUAAACGUUCCAUGUUGGAACGAUGAAAAAUUUCUGCUGUACGAGACAUUUCCGAAGACGUUAAAGCCAAGUCGAUUUUAUCCUCCGUGUAUUACACGCCGCUUGUGCAACGUGCGCAAAGGGAUUCUGGCGAAAUCUUCGAUUUGAUGUAUCCGUGAAUGAGUUUAAUUGGGGAUUAAGUACACAUCUCAGGUUUACAGGGGUGAUCUGGGAACGCGGUGCUAUGAUCGAGAGCGAUUCCAACGAAGAACAUGGCCAAGCCCCAUCCAAGACUU